GUAGGUGAACCUGCGGAAGGAUCAUUAAAAAUGAAGCCGGGAAACCGGUCCUUCUAACCCUUGAUUAUCUCAAUUUGUUGCUUUGGUGGGCCGCGCAAGCACCGGCUUCGGCUGGAUCGUGCCCGCCAGAGGACCAAACUCUGAAUCUUAGUAAUGUCUGAGUACUAUAUAAUAGUUAAAACUUUCAACAACGGAUCUCUUGGUUCUG
rnacentral:misc_RNA from 1 species